rnacentral:rRNA from 1 species
CGGACGGGUGAGUAACGCGUGGGUAACCUGCCUCAUACAGGGGGAUAACAGUUAGAAAUGACUGCUAAUACCGCAUAAGCCCACGGGUCGGCAUCGACCUGAGGGAAAAGGAGCAAUCCGCUUUGAGAUGGCCUCGCGUCCGAUUAGCUAGUUGGUGAGGUAACGGCCCACCAAGGCGACGAUCGGUAGCCGGACUGAGAGGUUGAACGGCCACAUUGGGACUGAGACACGGCCCAG